rnacentral:rRNA from 1 species
AUUGAACGCUGGCGGCAGGCCUAACACAUGCCAGUCGAGCGGAUGAAGGGAGCUUGCUCCUGGAUUCAGCGGCGGACGGGUGAGUAAUGCCUAGGAAUCUGCCUGGUAGUGGGGGAUAACGUCCGGAAACGGGCGCUAAUACCGCAUACGUCCUGAGGGAGAAAGUGGGGGAUCUUCGGACCUCACGCUAUCAGAUGAGCCUAGGUCGGAUUAGCUAGUUGGUGGGGUAAAGGCCUACCAAGGCGACGAUCCUUAACUGGUCUGAGAGGAUGAUCAGUCACACUGGAACUGAGACACGGUCCAGACUCCUACGGGAGGCAGCAGUGGGGAAUAUUGGACAAUGGGCGAAAGCCUGAUCCAGCCAUGCCGCGUGUGUGAAGAAGGUCUUCGGAUUGUAAAGCACUUUAAGUUGGGAGGAAGGGCAGUAAGUUAAUACCUGGCUGUUUUGACGUUACCAACAGAAUAAGCACCGGCUAACUUCGUG